CCCGCUGAACUUAAGCAUAUCAAUAAGCGGAGGAAAAGAAACCAACAGGGAUUACCUCAGUAACGGCGAGUGAAGCGGUAACAGCUCAAAUUUGAAAUCUGGCUCUUUCAGGGUCCGAGUUGUAAUUUGUAGAAGAUGCUUCGGGUGUGGCUCCGGUCUAAGUUCCUUGGAACAGGACGUCAUAGAGGGUGAGAAUCCCGUAUGUGACUGGCUGCCUCCGCCCAUGUGAAGCUCUUUCGACGAGUCGAGUUGUUUGGGAAUGCAGCUCAAAAUGGGUGGUAAAUUUCAUCUAAAGCUAAAUAUUGGCCAGAGACCGAUAGCGCACAAGUAGAGUGAUCGAAAGAUGAAAAGCACUUUGGAAAGAGAGUUAAACAGUACGUGAAAUUGUUGAAAGGGAAGCGCUUGCAAUCAGACUUGCAUGUAGCCGAUCAUCUGGGGUUCUCCCCAGUGCACUCGGUUGCGUUCAGGCCAGCAUCGGUUUGGGUGGUUGGAUAAAGGCCUUGGGAAUGUAGCUUCUUUCGGGGAGUGUUAUAGCCCAGGGUGCAAUGCAGCCUACCCAGACCGAGGACCGCGCUUCGGCUAGGAUGCUGGCGUAAUGGUUGUAAGCGACCCGUCUUGAAACACGG
rnacentral:rRNA from 1 species